rnacentral:lncRNA from 1 species
UAAAUCUGGGGACCUGGGCCCAUGAGAUGAAUAAAGAAAGUUUAGUUCACACUGUAUUGCACAGUAAAUAAUCAUGUAGCCAUAAUAACUUGAUAUACCAGAAUUUUGCUAAAGCUUUAUUGGCUAGAAGUCUCCAUAUUCUGUAUCACACAUGUUUUAUCUUAGGGUUAAGAAAUUCUGAGAAGUGCUUUUUAUUAGGUUAAACUGACAGAUUUUGUUUCAUACAGAGCCAUGUUUAUAGACGACAUCUGGUCUUUACAUUUACUCUCCUUUUUGUUCACCAAUGAUUGUUUGCUCCUGGGAAAGAGGGUCUGUGACUUUUUCUAUCUACCUCACAAGUAACUGAUUGCAAAAUAAAGUCAAACUUAUCAUUUUUUUCUUAGGUACCCAUGAAUCUCACUCAAGCUUCAUGGUCUACUUGUGUUAUUCUGACCAUUAGAAGCAACACAUACUCCCACUGCAGUGAAGAACUGCAUAGAGGAAAAGCCAUCAUGGGCCACAGGAGAUUUGAUAUUUUGGUGUCCAAGAUUCCACUGGAGUCUUCAGGUGCCACUGCUAGGGAUCUUCUGAAUCAAAUGUUCAGAUUACUACUAUGCUCUUGCUAUCAGAGUUGCCUGUUCACAGUGCCAUAUUGUGCUUGCUAAAAGGUGCUGCUAACCCACCAGCUAGGACCUCUACCACACACUACACCAGACCAAAAGGGAUAAAGAACCUGCUGCCUGUUUUCCCUGAACGAGAAGGGUGGUGUCAAGGGGAGGCCAGAAUUUGUCUCUGGGGACUUGGAUGCUGUUUCUGCUUGAGGACCUCUCUGCCAGGGGACAAGUAUUUUACUCAGCCUUGUACCUCAGUCACUGCCUGUGAGAUGAAGAUGUUAUUGAAUAACAGCCAUGAUGGGUUCUGCAGUUGCUCGGAUUACUCUUGUCCCACUCUAAAGUACAGGAACUAG